GAUGAAGAACGUAGCGAAAUGCGAUACGUAAUGUGAAUUGCAAAUUCAGUGAAUCAUCGAGUCUUUGAACGCACAUUGCGCCCCCUGGUAUUCCGGGGGGCAUGCCUGUCCGAGCGUCAUUGCUGCCCUCAAGCACGGCUUGUGUGUUGGGCCCCGUCCUCCGAUUCCGGGGGACGGGCCCGAAAGGCAGCGGCGGCACCGCGUCCGGUCCUCGAGCGUAUGGGGCUUUGUCACCCGCUCUGUAGGCCCGGCCGGCGCUUGCCGAUCAACCCAAAUUUUUAUCCAGGUUGACCUCGGAUCAGGUAGGGAUACCCGCUGAACUUAAGCAUAUUAAUAGCGGAGGA
rnacentral:misc_RNA from 1 species